rnacentral:lncRNA from 1 species
GAGUUGGAGUUUCUGCAAGCCUUUGCUUCUCCCUAGUGGUGAUGCUCACAGUGGAGGGAAGAGGUCUAACCCAUUGCUACAGGUUCCUAAACUGAGACCAGGGGUCAAGUGGCAUGUUGGACGUCAUUUGGCUACCAGCAAGCAGGGCCUACACUCUCUUCCCCUUUUGCGCUCUGCUCCCCACCCUGCCUUCAGCAUGCACACAGGCGCGAGACAGCCCCAGCCCAGCGGUGGGUGGCACCUCUUAUUUCUUCUUUCUGAGACUUUUUCCAGAGCGCUGGGGCAGAGUCAGAAAAGCUGCCUGAGCCUCUAAGACUCGGCUUUGAAAUCCCUGUGCUGUGGCUGACGGGAGGUGGGUGCAGAAGGGAUGUGUCCCUGGAUGGUUGCUGGUUGGGUCUGUGGAAAGGAGGCCUGGGUCUAACUUUCAAAGGCAUGAGGCCACCCAAGGGGAGUGGUAAUCAUCUUUGGCAUGUGUCUGUUGGAGCAGGCGCGGGAAAUUAAAACAAAAAGCAGUGGCCACUGCCAAAAUUCUGCCUUCUGUCCUGGACUUGUGAGCAAGAUCCCCUGUGCCGGAAAGGCAGAGCGCCUCUUUUUGGAACUCCAGAAUGGACACACGGGAGCUGGAACCGAGAUUCCAAGGCACAGGAGGGAGAUCUCCAUCCUAGGAUGGGAGGUGCACCAAGACCCCUGGCAACUCCCCUCUUGCUCUUAUCUUUCUGAUCCAUCCCUCACCAACUCCUCCCUAGUCCUCUGCACUUCCUCCCGUUCCCUCAGCUUCUGCUGCCACCCUUUCUUAAUGAUUCUGUUCGACAAAUAUUUAUCUAGUGCCUACCCUCCACCAGGCACGGUGGUAAGUGCUGAAAUAAAAGUUGAAUAAGACAGUUCCUUUCCUCAAGGAGGGGGAGCUUGUAGACCAUCAGGGGGACAGAUAAACAAAUGAUUACCAUAUAUGUCCCAUGAUAAAGGUGGGCACAGCGUGCUCUCAAAUAACAGGCACCCAGCCUAGCCCUGGAGGGGAAAGGUCGGGGUCAAGAGCAACUUUCUCAGUGAGGUAAUGAGCAGAAUCUUGAAGAAUGAUUAAGAGUUAAUACAGCAAACAAGAGGGGAAGGAUACUCUCCGAAGAGGAAACGUUAUUAGCAAAACCAGAAAGACACCAAGUGGUGAGGCUAUAUGAGCAGGGGAUACAGCAGUUGAGCAUAAACUCUGAGGAAGUCUUCCAAUUAAAGCUGGCAGAAGGGCAUUGUAUCCCCUGCCAAAGAACUUGAAUUUAUUCUACAGUUGAUGGGGAAUUGGUGGUGGAUUUUACUCAAGGGGAAGACACUGUCAGAUUUACACAUUCACUGGAUCUCUAAAUCAACUGGAGUAAGGAACAUGGGAUGGGAGGAGAGCAAUAUGGAAGCCAUUUAGAUAAUCCAGGAAAGAGGUGACGAAGGGAUGAAGUGGGUUACUCGUAGUUGGUGCCUGUAGUGGAGAUGACCAGCCCGGUUAAAAGAGCAGGCAGGUUCAGGACCACGUUAGCGAUGGUCGUGUUGAAGUGCCUUUAAGAGCUCUAAGUGGAGCUGUUCAGCACAAGGGUUUCAAGCUCAGGAGUGCAGAUAAGACUAUAUAAAUUUGAAAAUCACAACAUAGGCAUAUUUGUCUGGCAAUCAUAAGAACAUUUUCUUUACCCUCAUACUACAUGCAGUUUUUAAGUCACUCUCUUUCUUUCCUCUUCCUGAGCUUUCACCUCCCCUUCCUUAUUUCAGAAUUGCCUAUUCCAUAUAUCUGGGCGCUUCCUAGCAAUGGGUACAAAUGUGUCUUGCUCAUAUGGACUCCAAGAUUUGAUCAGUGGAUCUGAAUAAAGUAAAUUGCUUUGGUUCCUUAGUCCA